GCAUGUGCGGACGAUGGCUUCUG
rnacentral:piRNA from 1 species